rnacentral:lncRNA from 10 species
AGAGGGAAGAAUGAGAAGUGACUACUUCAUGGAUACAAGGUUUUCUCUGGGGGUGAUGAAAAUAUUUUGACAUCUGAUAAAGGUGGUGGUAGUACAGCACUGUGAAUGUACCAAUUGCCACUGAAUUGUGCAUUUUAAAGUGAUUGAUUUUAUGUGGAACAAAUUUCACUUUAAUUAUAAAAAGUGAAUAAACUUUUAGAAGCUAACCUUGGAAGAAGGUAGAGACUGGAAGGGAUCACAAGAAAGGCUUCUGGGAUGUUGGGUUGAUUUCUCUAAGAAGUACAUGCUGAAAUGAAGAUAAGAGUACAAAAUAUUUAUCGGAGAGUAGUAACACAGAGGAGACACAGGAUUUGGCAGAAACACUAAACCAUGGUGAAGACCGGCUAAAGUCUCUUUGUCCAAAGGGGAGCUCUAAAGUAAAUAUGAGCCAUUAAGGGAGCCCCACACUGGAUGGAAAUGGCCAAGCCUUUUUACAACCACCUUCUCCUUGAGACACUGCCUGCAAUUCACCCUGGGAAAGCAAAACCUCAACUGUUUCUGCCUCAUUCAUUCUUUGUCAGUGCCGUAAGAAGAUUGAGAUUUCAGCUUGUAACUGUUGAAGCAAAACCUAAAGUGGUUAAUAAUGGGAGUUUGUCACAACUAUCUUAACACAAAUAUAAAAUAUUUGCAUGAAC